AGUUCCCCCUGACUGUGCGCGCCCGCGUGUGGGCUCCUUUGCAGAGGACUCGGUAGCUGCAGCUCCCGGAGCACAGCGGACAGAGCUGCGGGCUGCGUGCGCCCCUGCUGCCACCGGGCCUGCCGCGGUGGCUCCCGCGCCCCGCGGCGACUUCCGCUCCCGCGCUUCUCUUUGUUCAAGUCCCCGAGCGGCGGCGGGGUCGGAGCCCGCGCCUUGGGCGACUGAGGCGGCCGCAGUCCGCGCCCCGGCGCCCUGGCGAUGCCGGACCAGAUCUCUGUGUCGGAAUUCGUGGCCGAGACCCUUGAGGACUACAAGGCGCCCACUGCCUCUAGCUUCACGCGCACGGCCCAGUGCCGGAACACCGCGGCGGCCAUCGAGGAGGAUGCAGUGACUUAUGAUGAUGUGCACGUGAACUUCACUCGGGAAGAGUGGAAUUUGCUGCAUCCUUCCCAGAAGAGUCUUUACAAAGAUGUGAUGCUGGAGACCUACUGGAACCUCACUGUUAUAGGCUACACUUGGGAAAACCAUCAUAUUGAAAGACAUUGUCAAAGUUCAAGAAGAAAUGAAAGGUAAUUUUCAUGUGAAAGCUUAUGCAAUUAUGCCUCUAAGGAAAUUUUACUAUGAUAUUGAAGCUCUAAAUCAAAGCAUGAGUGUAAAAUGUCAAUACUUAAAGUGUAACUAUGAUUACAAUAUUUUUUUAAUAUUUAUUUAUUUAUUGUAUAUAAGUACACGGUAGCUGUCCGCAGAUACUCCAGAAGAGGGCAUCAAAUUUUGUUACAGAUGGUUAUGAGCCACCAUGUGGUUGCCGGGAUUUGAACUCAGGACCUUCGGAAGAGCAGUCUGUGCUCUUUACCACUGAGCCAUCACGGCAGCCCUAAUUAUACUAUUCUUAUAAAAUUGUACUGCCUAGAUAUAGUUAUCUGAUUUAUCUAUCAAAGCAUUCCUUUUUAAAAAAAAAAAAAAAAGAGGAGGAAACAUUGCCUUAAGGGAUACCUUUAUUCAAUUUGUACCUCUACUAGAGCUAUACUGAUCU
rnacentral:lncRNA from 1 species